CAAAGACUAAGGAUGCUAUUCUCUGAUCUCCUUGCAAUCGGAAAUAUGUUUAUCAACGAGAGAGAUCAGCACACAAAUCCACGAUCGAAGUGCUAUAACCUCCAAAGUUACAUAAAGUUUUCUCUUGAUUUGCACUUGGUAGAAAACCGACAUCCAUAGGUAUUGGCUGGCUCAUGUAUAGACAUGGAGCGACGCCAUUUUCCAAUGGUUGCAACUCAAAACUAAAGGUGAGGUGGCAUCUAUUUCUCAUAAAGAUUCAUUAUCUUCGUUCUCACAUAACCAUUAAUCCUAACCAGCAAAGUUCACGUUGUAUGGUACCCAUAAAUCGCAUCCAUUGCUAGCUCAAACUUAAGAAAAAAAGAGCAUAUUCAUUACCUCAAAACUCAUAAUGUUUGUGAGAAAUUUGCUAGGAAAUAAAUCAAAAUAUUGGUCACAGAUUGGUUGAAGCACAUAACAGAUCAUGCUUGUACAAAAUUCCAGUAUAGGCCUGAAAAACAAAUGUAGCAGAUGACCCAAGAACAAUACUUGUAAUUGAUUUCUUCCAUCACUAACAUCUAAGAGAUCUUUGUCGUUCAGGAAGAAUAAAAACAGUAAAUCACUCCAUAAAGUUAUCACUGCAGCAGAAAUCCAGAAAAACCGUAUUGAAUCCUAUUUACUUUCUAGAACUAAUACAGAUAGGGUGCUGUUGAUACAUGGAAUCAGUUAGAUUUGGGAAAUUAAUUAUAAAUUAAGCCUUGCAGACAAUAUUUUAGCUGAAAAAGAAGGAGGAGUUCAUUACAAUGUUGGUAUAAAACAUAAAUGAAAAACAAAAGGUCUAAAGCCACAGCUAGAAUAAAAUCUUUAUUGCCACUUGUCUGAAUUUAUUUGAUUUAAUAAUUGAAGCAUCAAUUCAGGCCACCAAAGGUCCUUUCCCUUCCAACCCCUAGAUGAUAAUGAUAAUAAACCUCAUCAAAGCGCAAACCUCCACUAGCAACAACCCAUAGGCACAGUCCUAAAAGAAUCACCUAAUUAUUCAUGUAGCCAUUAGACUCCAGAAAAUGGGACUAGAACCCCAUUGAAUCACUUAUCUUGGAUCAACAACAACUUUCAGCAAUCUAAGAAGCAUUUCUUGUUCUGGAUUUCAAGGCACCUAAUACUUAACCAAGAAUUCAUGUUCUGUAUUACUAGACAGAACCAAGAAAACAAAUACCAUCAUUCUACCCAUCAAAGUUAUAGAAACCUCUCCAAGCACUCACAUUAACUCCAGUGUCCCCCUUCUGGAGGUUCUUUAUGAUAGCCAUAACUAUUCUAAUCAGCUUCAAACAUCAAAGACAAGUAAUGAUCCUUAUCUCAAUUUAGAAACCAUUAUAGCAGAGACCUUCCUCCAUAAAGUUUAACAUAAAUGGCUCAAAUGAUUCAACCAAAUACAAAGGGAAAACCCCCCUCGUCUACCUAAAUGAUGAUGUACAUGUAUGAGAAGAAACAACCACCAAAUAAAAGCCUCCAUGGCCAUAUCUUUAAUGGGUUUAUUUCAUUUUCUCGUAACUGUAAGACACUACUUGUCAACUACCUUCAAAAAAUUACACUGAAAAGCCAAAGAGCAUGUCAUGAUGGCAGCAUAAACUUAUAACAACAACCAACAAGUAGAGCCAUUAGAGUUGAAUAUUAAAUAUUGGGAAGGAGUUCGUUUGUUUGAAUUACUUACUCUUGGAGAAGGAGGCAAAUGAUAAAGUGCGCACUGCCAGCUCCAUCUCCAAAUUUAGAUACAAAAAGGCUUACUUGUGUGCUGUGCUUCUAU
rnacentral:lncRNA from 1 species